UCUCUCUCAUUAUUUUCUUACCUAAAGCGCGUUUUCCUAUCUUUGAAAUUCCCUCACCAUCUAAGUUUGUUAACUAUUUAUCUUUUAACAUUUUUGUAACUUAAGGAGACAUUUUGCUCGUUAUUCGUUUUAAUCUGAAGAACCGAUUCAGAACCAGCAUUUAUUUUUCUUAAUUUUGACAAUUUUUCAUCAACACCCGUUUUUCUUGGCUAAAGCCUGAGAACCAUCAUUUUUAAGCACUCAGCUGAGAACUACGGAGACCUGUUGGACCAGGUCUUUGCAUAGAACCGAUCAACCCGCGGCAGGACAUCUAGGCCACCACAACGACGACGCACCGCUCCGAACCCGCAGGUCCAGACCGUGUGCAUAAUCUGAAGGCCUCGCACGUCCCAGCCCCAUGACGGUUCACUUCAAUAACUCCAGCUGAGUUUGCUCUGAUUCCAUUCUAUGGGUGAUGUACUAACCGCUUGGUCAAUUAAUUAAUUUAAUCAAUUUAUUCUUUUACAAAUCAUUAGAAUUCUUAAUCCAAAUUACCGAUUACCUCGUCAGGUUAGCUCUGGCUAAUCCUCACCAUAUUUCCUUCUCUCUCACACCUACUUCCACAUCUCUCACACAUGCACACACACCACAGACACACUCCCACAUUCCACACAUGCACGCACACACACACGUAGUCCUGCACGCACACACACACACACAUACCAUAUCUACAUUGUAUAUAGUUCACUUGUAAUUAUUUUCAUAGAAUAGUUAAUAAAUACCUCAUUAUAGACCAAA